rnacentral:rRNA from 1 species
UGGGGAAUUUUGCACAAUGGGGGAAACCCUGAUGCAGCGACGCCGCGUGAUUUAGAAGGCCUUCGGGUUGUAAAAAUCUUUUCUAUGGGAAGAAAAUGACAGUACCAUAGGAAUAAGGACCGGCUAAUUACGUGCCAGCAGCCGCGGUAAUACGUAAGGUCCGAGCGUUGUCCGGAAUCAUUGGGCGUAAAGGGUACGUAGGCGGGUAGGCAAGUUAGAAGUGAAAUCCUAUAGCUCAACUAUAGUAAGCUUUUAAAACUGCUCCCCUUGGGGUAUGGAAGGGAAAGUGGAAUUCCUAGUGUAGCGGUGAAAUGCGCAGAUAUUAGGAGGAAUACCGGUGGCGAAGGCGACUUUCUGGCCAUAACCUGACGCUGAGGUACGAAAGCGUGGGUAGCAAACAGG